GACGAACGCUGGCGGCGUGCUUAACACAUGCAAGUCGAGCGGUAAGGCCCUUUCGGGGGUACACGAGCGGCGAACGGGUGAGUAACACGUGGGUGACCUGCCCUCAGCUCUGGGAUAAGCCCGGGAAACUGGGUCUAAUACCGGAUAUGACUUCAUGACGCAUGUUGUGGAGUGGAAAGCCUUGUGCGGCUGAGGAUGGGCCCGCGGCCUAUCAGCUUGUUGGUGGGGUGANGGCCUACCAAGGCGACGACGGGUAGCCGGCCUGAGAGGGCGACCGGCCACACUGGGACUGAGAUAC
rnacentral:rRNA from 1 species